rnacentral:rRNA from 1 species
AUUGAACGCUGGCGGCAUGCUUUACACAUGCAAGUCGAACGGUAACAGGCCGCAAGGUGCUGACGAGUGGCGAACGGGUGAGUAAUGCAUCGGAACGUGCCCAGUCGUGGGGGAUAACGCCGCGAAAGCUGCGCUAAUACCGCAUACGAUCUCUGGAUGAAAGCGGGGGACCGAAAGGCCUCACGCGAUUGGAGCGGCCGAUGUCAGAUUAGGUAGUUGGUGGGGUAAAGGCCCACCAAGCCAACGAUCUGUAGCUGGUCUGAGAGACGACCAGCCACACUGGGACUGAGACACGGCCCAGACUCCUACGGGAGGCAGCAGUGGGGAAUUUUGGACAAUGGGCGCAAGCCUGAUCCAGCAAUGCCGCGUGCAGGAAGAAGGCCUUCGGGUUGUAAACUGCUUUUGUACGGAACGAAACGGUCCGGGUUAAUACCCUGGGCUAAUGACGGUACCGUAAGAAUAAGCACCGGCUAACUACGUGCCAGCCGCCGCCGUAAUAC